AGCAGCCGCGGUAAUUCCAGCUCCAAUAGCGUAUAUUAAAGUUGUUGCAGUUAAAAAGCUCGUAGUUGAAUUUCGGGAUUAGUGCGCCGGUCGUGCCUUCGGUAUGUACUGGUGUUACUGGUUCCUACCUUCUGACGAACCGUCAUGUCAUUAAUUUGGUGUGGCGGGGAAUCAGGACUGUUACUUUGAAAAAAUUAGAGUGUUUAAAGCAGGCUCGCGCUUGAAUACAUUAGCAUGGAAUAAUGAAAUAGGACGUUCGAUCCUAUUUUGUUGGUUUCUAGGAUUGACGUAAUGAUUAAUAGGGAUAGUUGGGGGCAUUAGUAUUCAAUUGUCAGAGGUGAAAUUCUUGGAUUUGU
rnacentral:rRNA from 1 species